rnacentral:rRNA from 1 species
AGAUUGAACGCUGGCGGCAUGCCUAACACAUGCAAGUCGAACGGGAGUAGCAAUACUCUAGUGGCGGACGGGUGAGGAAUACGUAGGAGUUUGCCCUUAAGUGGGGGAUAACCCGGGGAAACCCGGAUUAAUACCGCAUGACCUCGAAAGAGCAAAGUGGGGGAUCGCAAGACCUCACGCUUUUGGAGAAGCCUACGUCGGAUUAGCUAGUUGGUGAGGUAAUGGCUCACCAAGGCGACGAUCCGUAACUGGUCUGAGAGGAUGAUCAGUCACACCGGAACUGAGACACGGUCCGGACUCCUACGGGAGGCAGCAGGUGGGGAAUAGUUGGACAAUGGGCGCAAGCCUGAUCCAGCAAUGCCGCGUGUGUGAAGAAGGCCGUUCGGUGUAAAGCGUAACUUUAAGGUUAGGGUAAAGAAAAACGUACGACUACUAAACACAGU